rnacentral:rRNA from 1 species
UAAUACCGGAUAGAUCAAAGAUACAGGAAUGUUCUCUGGUCUAAAACUCUGGUGCCCAAGGAUGGGUCUGCGGCCUAUCAGGUAGUAGUGGGUGUAACGUACCUACUAGCCUACGACGGGUAAGGGUUGUGAGAGCAAGAGCCCUGAGAUGGAUUCUGAGACAUGAAUCCAGGCCCUACGGGGUGCAGCAGGCGCGAAAACUUUACACUGCGGGAAACCGCGAUAAGGGGACCCCGAGUGCCAGCACCUAGUGCUGGCUGUCCAGCUGUCCAAAUAACAGUUGUUAGCAAGGGCCGGGCAAGACCGGUGCCAGCCGCCGCGGUAACACCGGCGGCCCGAGUGGUAGCCGUUAUUAUUGGGUUUAAAGGGUCCGUAGCCGGCCUAUUAAGUCUCUUGGGAAAUCUGGCGACUUAAUCGUCAGGCGUUC